CUGGUCAUGAUGCACUGGCAACCCUCUACUUAAGAGUGAAAAAGUGAACCAUCAGGAUGAACUGAGAAGCCAUCCUGUCUGUCCUCAGUUCUGGCUGACAGCACAGAUACCCUCAACUCUCUGUGCCAAAGACAGACAGCACUCUGGAGACAGACAUCUGUGUCAGCCAUCACAAACCCUGUGACUACAAGGGCUGGAUCCCUCUGCCAGGAUCUUCUGGGAGAUGCUAGUGCUCAGUGAAUGACCAUCACACUCUUCCCAGUGGGCUCAGCAUGCUGCCUGCAGAACCAGACGUGGUCAGGACAAGAAGCCUCAGAAACCUUCCUAAGAAGUCUUGUUUCCAGGCUACAUCUCCCUGAACUCCUUC